GCAUUGGUGGUUCAGUGGUAGAAUUCUCACCUUCCACAUGGGAGACCAGGGUUCGAUUCCCAGCCAACACA
rnacentral:tRNA from 1 species